UACAGAGGGUGCGAGCGUUAAUCGGAAUUACUGGGCGUAAAGCGUGCGUAGACGGUUAUUUAAGUCGGAUGUGAAAGCCCCGGGCUCAACCUGGGAAUUGCAUUCGAGACUGAAUAGCUAGGGUGCGGUAGAGGGAAGCGGAAUUUCCGGUGUAGCGGUGAAAUGCGUAGAUAUCGGAAGGAACACCAGUGGCGAAGGCGGCUUCCUGGACUAAUACUGACGCUGAGGUGCGAAAGCGUGGGGAGCAAACAGG
rnacentral:rRNA from 1 species